CGCCGCAAGCCGCGCGCGCGCUGCUGCGGUGAAGUUUGGCCCUUUCUAGCUGCCGUCCUCCCCUACGGGCUGUGCGCAGUAAAGGCUGCUAUCCCUCCCUUCUAUCGCCGGAAAUCUGCGUGCUCCAACUCGUUGGUUCAGUCUUGAAAGUAGAGAAGUGGAAGCCAGGGUAAUAAGGCGUGUUUUCAGCCCCAAAUUCUGUCCGCUUCCAAUCCUGCAUGAAAUGUGCCCUCUUCCACCGCUCAUCCGCAUUUGUGACAACAUUGAUUGAAGCUCAAACGAAAUCCUUCAGUGCCUCUGCAGAGCCUACAGUGUAAACGCCAAGAUCCUUGAUGGACAUGGAUGAAUCUGGAGAACAUCAUCCUCAGCAAACUGACACAAGAGCAGAAAAUGAAACACCGCAUAUUCUCACUCAUAGAGUUUCAAUUCAUCCUGUUUGAAGAAGCCCCAAUCAUCUUGGGCCAAUAGAGGGGCAGUGUGGUAUAUGGAAGAAACUGAUGGACAGUGUUUGAGUCUUGGCUUUGUUUUUACCUUUCUGAGCCUCCAUUCUUUACUUGAAAAAUAAGGAUAAGUAAUAUUGUUUACUGCAUCACAAUGUAAUCUGGAUUAAAUGUUAUAAUGUAUAUUUAAGUGCUUUUGUAAAAUUGCUAAAAGCUAUAAAAAUGGCACUAAAUAAGUACUUCUACCAGCCUCCCCUCAUCUAUGCAUUUAUUUCUCCUAUUUAUGUCAGCUCUAAGUAGUAUAAUGACCAUAUCUGGGGAUAAAGAGCUAGACUAAAGUGAAGUGAAUUUAUUUUGCUCUGUGGGAAGUUUUGUAUGCUUUCCUUAGCCUUUCUACUUCUUUUAGAUUGAGUUUGUGCAGAUGAGAAAAAACGUUUUCUUAGGAAGAUGUUAUUUGAAUAACUUUAUACACAAAAUGUAGCAAACAACCUAUAUUGUGAAUUUGUUAUUUUAGCACAUAUAACAUAUAAUGCACAUCAUCUAAAGGAGAGAAGAAAAAGAAACGAUAAAAUAACGAGCAUUUAUGGUGACGAAAGCAAUUUGCUUCACCUGCUCCUGGAUUAUUAAUAUUCAAAGCUGUUUGGCACCAGUUGGGCUGAACUUUCUAUGGUGCAUAAGGGAGAAACAGCAGGAUAAAAAUGAGCAAGGAAGCCAUUUCACACAUACAGUGGUCUGUCUUCCUUGUUAGCUGUCCUUUUGGACACCCAGUUGAGGGCUUUUAUCCAGUACUUACAGACACAGCUUAUCAUAACUUGCGGCUUGUUUCUUUAGGGCAUUCUUCCCCACACCCUACAAGGUAAUGGUCUAUGCUGCAUGUAUUCUAUCUGAUAAAACCUACUUAACAAACUUAAUUAUUACAGACAGGUCCAGUAAUGCCCAUAUUAACAAAAAAAUGACCUUUUGCACUUAUGUAUUCUAUACAUAGACAUAUAACUUUUACACUUUUAUAUUUCUAUAUAGAAACACAUGAAUUAUUCAGCACCCAUAGGCAUUUGCCUUUAUUUACAGACCUGGGGAGACAACAGCCAUUACAUUUUAAAUGGCCAAGGAGGAUGAACCCAAAAUGUGUGAAGUUUUCUUCAGAUCCUUCCAUAAGAGGAAGGUUCUUUGAACUGGCUGCACCAUAGGCCAUAUCCUAAGUAGAGCCAUGGAGACCCUUAUGACCCAUACCUAUACCUCUGGAUGGCCUGCAAUUAGAAAAUCUGAAGUAACGGGAAGACCAUGAAAAGGAAAAGAAUGAUCAACCCUUGUGGCACCUAAUUAACUUGGGACAUUCUUCUAUUGUUCCUUAUUCCCACCUCAAUUGGUAAGGCAAUUGGACUUUGUAACUGACCUUGGUCAACCUUGUGACUCCGACCCUACGACCCCCUCCUACCUUGCAAAAACUACCCUAAACUGUAAUUUCUGUUAACUUUCCAUUGCCUACCCCAAACCUAUAAAACUGACUCUAUCCCACCGUCCUGCGCUGACUCUCUUUUGGGACUCAGCACACUGCACCCAGGUGAAUAAAAAGCCAUGUCUGGGAGAUCACACAAAGCCUGUUUGGGAGGUCUCUUCAUUCAGAGUGCAUGUUUAACAUUUUCUCUUCAACUUCAGAAUAAAAUCCAAAAUCUCCAGCAUGACAUUCAAGGUGUUUCUUAACAUAGGAAAGUCUACAUUUGAUUUUUCUUAACAAAGAUUCUACUCACUUCUCUAGCCUUUACUUUCAUCCUUUAUAGUUUCUACAGCCCUUUAUUUUUCAAAGUUUCAUGCAGUUUCCUCAGCCUAAGUUGCUGCUGUCUCUGUUUUUGAAGAUAACUCUUUCACCUGGAAUGACAAAAAUGUGCCUUGGCAUUUAUCAAGCUAUAUUAGUUUUCUUUCUCCCUGAUUAGCCUAUCAGCUCCUUGAAGGCAGGAACUAUAAUUUUUGUCUCUUUUUUCCCUAGUCAAGUAGAGUGGCUGACAAAUAAUUAAUACAAGCCUUUGUUGUAUAAAUGAAUGGACAAAGGUGGGCAACUAAUUUCUUUGAGAACAUUAUGGUUAGCUAUUUAGUGACUUAUUGAGUUGUUGUUAAUAAAAUAAAGGAAUUUUCUUGUUAAUUCUUUUUUUUGU